rnacentral:rRNA from 1 species
UACGUAGGGAGCGAGCGUUGUUCGGAAUUACUGGGCGUAAAGGGAGUGUAGGCUGGAAAGUAAGUUAGGAGUGAAAUGUAUCGGCUCAACCGGUAAGCUGCUUUUAAUACUGCUUUUCUUGAGUAUGGGAGAGGAAAAUGGAAUUUCAGGUGUAGCGGUGGAAUGCGUAGAUAUCUGAAAGAACACCGAUGGCGAAGGCAGUUUUCUGGACCAAUACUGACGCUGAUGCUCGAAAGCUAGGGGAGCGAACAGG